rnacentral:rRNA from 1 species
CCUACGGGGUGCAGCAGUCGAGAAUCAUUCACAAUGGGGGAAACACUGAUGGUGCGACGCCGCGUGGGGGAAUGAAGGUCUUCGGAUUGUAAACCUCUGUCAUGUGGGAGCAAAUUCUAAAGAUCGUACCACAAGAGGAAGAGACGGCUAACUCUGUGCCAGCAGCUGCGGUAAUACAGAGGUCUUAAGCGUUGUUCGGAAUCAAUGGUCGUAAAGCGUGCGUAGGCUGUUUCGUAAGUCGUGUGUGAAAGGCGCGGGCUCAACCCGCGGACGGCAGGUGAAACUGGGAGACUAGAGUAAUGGAGAAGGAAGCGGAAUGCGCGGUGUAGCAGUGAAAUGCGUAGAUAUCGAGAGGAACACUCGUGGCGAAGGCGGGUUCCUGGACAUUAACUGACGCUGAGGCACGAAGGCCAGGGGAGCGAAAGGGAUUAGAUACCCGGGUAGUC